AACACGUAGGUACGUACCAAGAAGUCAGGGAUAUUCCGGCGAAAGUCGGCGCAAUACUUGAUGGUCUCCCAAAUUCAUAUUUGGGAGUAAAGAUUUAUCGCUUCUUGAACGGCCUGCGGGCUAUCAGCUAGUUGGUACGGUAACGGCGUACCAAGGCUACGACGGCUAGGGGAGGUGAGAGCCUGACCCCCACCGAUGGAACUGAGACACGGUCCAUACUCCUACGGGAGGCCGCAGUCGAGAAUCUUCCGCAAUGGGCGAAAGCCUGACGGAGCGACGCCGCGUGGUGGAUGAAGUCCUUAGGGACGUAAACACCUUUUAUGAGUGAAGAAGUUUAUUGACAUUAGCUCAUGAAUAAGGGGCUCCCAACUCUGUGCCAGCAGGAGCGGUAAUACAGAGGCCUCAAGCGUUAUCCGGAUUCACUGGGCGUAAAGGGUGCGUAGGCGGUUAUAUUAGUCGGGCGUAAAAUCCUAGGGCUCAACCUUAGGCCCGCGUUCGAAACGGUAUAACUAGGAGUAGUGAGAGGUGAACAGAACUCACGGUGUAGGGGUGAAAUCCGUUGAUAUCGUGGGGAAUACCAAAUGCGAAGGCAGUUCACUGGCGCUUACUCGACGCUGAGGCACGAAAGCGUGGGUAGCGAACGGGAUUAGAUACCCCGGUAGUCCACGCCCUAAACGCUGUCCGCUGGCUUUAGGGAGAAUCGACCCUCCCUGAGGCGAAGGUAACCCGUUAAGCGGACCGCCUGGGUAGUACGAGCGCAAGCUUAAAACUCAAAGGAAUAGACGGGGGCUCGCACAAGCGGUGGAUCAUGAGGCUUAAUUCGUCGAUAAGCGAAAAACCUUACCCAGGCUAGAAACCAUACUGCACGCUCUCCGAAAGGAGAGAAUCCUUCGAGGGUGUAUGGCAGGUGAUGCAUGGCCGUCGUCAGUUCGUGGCUUGAGCUGUUCCCUUAAGUG
rnacentral:rRNA from 1 species